rnacentral:rRNA from 1 species
GAGGUGCUUGCACCUUAUCUUAGCGGCGGACGGGUGAGUAAUGCUUAGGAAUCUGCCUAUUAGUGGGGGACAACAUUCCGAAAGGAAUGCUAAUACCGCAUACGUCCUACGGGAGAAAGCAGGGGAUCUUCGGACCUUGCGCUAAUAGAUGAGCCUAAGUCGGAUUAGCUAGUUGGUGGGGUAAAGGCCUACCAAGGCGACGAUCUGUAGCGGGUCUGAGAGGAUGAUCCGCCACACUGGGACUGAGACACGGCCCAGACUCCUACGGGAGGCAGCAGUGGGGAAUAUUGGACAAUGGGGGGAACCCUGAUCCAGCCAUGCCGCGUGUGUGAAGAAGGCCUUAUGGUUGUAAAGCACUUUAAGCGAGGAGGAGGCUACUGAGACUAAUACUCUUGGAUAGUGGACGUUACUCGCAGAAUAAGCACCGGCUAACUCUGUGCCAGCAGCCGCGGUAAUACAGAGGGUGCGAGCGUUAAUCGGAUUUACUGGGCGUAAAGCGUGCGUAGGCGGCUUUUUAAGUCGGAUGUGAAAUCCCCGAGCUUAACUUGGGAAUUGCAUUCGAUACUGGGAAGCUAGAGUAUGGGAGAGGAUGGUAGAAUUCCAGGUGUAGCGGUGAAAUGCGUAGAGAUCUGGAGGAAUACCGAUGGCGAAGGCAGCCCAUCUG